UUAUUUUUGAAAUCGAACUUC
ensembl:piRNA 21ur-7461 ncRNA